CGCAUGUGGUGUGUUGGUGCACACGAUAAUUGACUUACACAUGAGACUGAUGAAAAAAAAUUUUUAUGCACUGUCCAACUUCAUGUGUGAAUCAAUCACCGCAUGUGGUGCGGAACAUGCACACAUUCCGCACCACAUGCGGUGCACAAAGAUUUUUUCUUUCUAGAGCUACACUUCAACCACAAUCAAUAAGCUGAUUUUUUGCAAGAAAAAAUUAUCUCAGCUAUUAUUGUUUUUGAUGCAAUUGGAGCUUGCCCACAUAGUUUAUUAAAAGUAAUAAAUGUACAAAAGCACUGUUUUGUGAAUGGCUGUUUUGGCCAUAAGCCGAGUUAGCUCAGGCCGGGGCAUAAGAAACGAAAGGUCAGAAGGGGGA
rnacentral:lncRNA from 1 species